UACGAAGGGGGCUAGCGUUGCUCGGAAUCACUGGGCGUAAAGCGCACGUAGGCGGAUCUUUAAGUCAGGGGUGAAAUCCCAAGGCUCAACCUUGGAACUGCCUUUGAUACUGGGGGAUCUCGAGUCCGGAAGAGGUGAGUGGAACUGCGAGUGUAGAGGUGAAAUUCGUAGAUAUUCGCAAGAACACCAGUGGCGAAGGCGGCUCACUGGUCCGGUACUGACGCUGAGGUGCGAAAGCGUGGGGGAGCAAACAGG
rnacentral:rRNA from 1 species